UAUGUGAUCGUCUCUCGCAUAUCAAUAAGCGGAGGAAAAGAAACUAACAAGGAUUCCCCUAGUAACGGCGAGUGAAGCGGGAAGAGCUCAAAUUUGAAAUCUUAAAGGGUUUCCCUUUACGAAUUGUAGUUUAAAGAAGUGUUUUCUGUUGAGGUUUUGGUAAAAGUUCUUUGGAAUAGGACAUCAUAGAGGGUGAGAAUCCCGUAUUUGACCUUUACUUUCAACUUUGUGAUACACUUUCAAAGAGUCGGAUUGUUUGGGAAUGCAGUCCAAAAUGGGUGGUAAAUUUCAUCUAAAGCUAAAUAUUGGCGAGAGACCGAUAGCGAACAAGUACCGUGAGGGAAAGAUGAAAAGAACUUUGAAAAGAGAGUUAAACAGUACGUGAAAUUGUCAAAAGGGAAGCGUUUGACACCAGUGUUGUUUUUCUGAAAAUCAAUUAAAGAACUGUUUAUGCUAAGUUGUUUAGACUUUAUCAGCUAAUCUGCUUAGCUUUUGAGCUUUUCUUUAAUGCACUUUUCAGUUAACAAGUCAACAUCAAUUUCUUUUGCUGUAAAAAAGCUUGAGGAAGGUGGCUUGAGAUUCGUCUUAAGUGUUUAUAGCCUCUUGCCUAUGCAGUCGGAGAGAUUGAGGUCUGCAGCGUAGAUCCUUCGGGGCUAAAUGCAUUUGUGCUAAGUUAUAGCAUUUUAUAGACAACUUGUUGACUAUGAUUUGUCUUGUAGCUUACUCGCUUAUGUUAUUUUACCUACGCUUAGGAUGUUGAGUAGCGACAUACGCAC
rnacentral:rRNA from 1 species